UGGGGAAUUUUGGACAAUGGGCGAAAGCCUGAUCCAGCAAUGCCGCGUGUGUGAAGAAGGCCUUCGGGUUGUAAAGCACUUUUGUCCGGAAAGAAAUCCUUGGCUCUAAUACAGUCGGGGGAUACGGUACCGGAAGAAUAAGCACCGGCUAACUACGUGCCAGCAGCCGCGGUAAUACGUAGGGUGCAAGCGUUAAUCGGGAAUUACUGGGCGUAAAGCGUGCGCAGGCGGUUUGCUAAGACCGAUGUGAAAUCCCCGGGCUCAACCUGGGAACUGCAUUGGUGACUGGCAGGCUAGAGUAUGGCAGAGGUGGGUAGAAUUCCACGUGUAGCAGUGGAAAUGCGUAGAGAUGUGGAGGAAUACCGAUGGCGAAGGCAGCCCCCUGGGCC
rnacentral:rRNA from 1 species